AAGGAUCAUUAACGAGUUUUUAUUUGGUUGUAUUACCAAAAACUCCCACCCAAUGUUUAUUUUUGGAGACUAUAUGCUUUGGCAGGACAGUUUUGAAAAAAAAAACUGACUGGAACUGAUGAAAUAUGUCAUUGAUAUAUGAAAUCAACUGGUUUUGUUGCCUGCCAAAGUAACCAAACAAACUCUGUUUUAAUAACCUGAAAAAAGUCUGAGAAAUAUUUUGAAAAUAAAUCAAAACUUUCAACAACGGAUCUCUUGGUUCUGGCAUCGAUGAAGAACGCAGCGAAAUGCGAUAAGUAAUGUGAAUUGCAGAAUUCAGCGAAUCAUCGAAUCUUUGAACGCACAUUGCGCCUCUUGGUAUUCCUUGAGGCAUGCCUGUUCGAGCGUCGUUUUGACCAUAAGGCUUUGCCUUGCGAUGAGAAUUUUGAAAUUGUUUUAUUACGAGUUCAAAACCUCCAAACUUAUUGGCAUCUGAUUUUUUGGCCAACAACACAGCGAUAUGUGUUUGGAAAACCAAGAAAGCGUGAUUGCUCUUUAAAACCCCAAUUUUUAAAAGGUCGACCUCGAAUCAAGCAAGACUACCCACUGAACUUAA
rnacentral:rRNA from 3 species